GAACCGUUAUGUAUGAGCGUCUUUAAAAACUGUUAUGUAUAAUUUUUUUUAUUAAUUUUUUUAAAAUAAUAUUAUAUUAUCUUAUAUUAUAUUAAAAAAUAACAAAUAAAUUAUUUAUCCUAAAAUUUGAAUUUAUUCCUAGAUAUAGACUUUGAAAAAUAAAAAAUUCAUAACAUUUUUUUAUUAAAAAUCUAAAUUAGAAAUCUAAAUACCAAAAAUUGAAUAUUAAAAGUGAAAAAAAGAAAAAGACAAAUCCUUAUUUCUCUUCAAAAUUUCCCCCAAUCUCUUCAAAAAUUUUCUCCAAUCCCGCGCUGAAUCCAAUCCUGUCUCUCGACUCCCUCUCUCCCCUCUCAACUCCGCCGCCGGCGCCGCUGCCCUGCACCGGCCCGUCGCCGCCCACCCUCGCUGCUGCCCCGCGCCCUAGUUCUUCUCUAUUCGAUUGGUUGAGCCCUAGUUCUUCUCUGUUCGAAACAACCCAGCCGUCGCCAUCUCAGGAAGACCGGCGAGCUACGCGACCUAGAGCCCGCCCAUCGUUGCUGGUGGUCCGAGGAUCGGCGAGCCGAUGGUGUUCUACGGCCGGUUCUCUUCUCAACUCCACAUAAUCGAGGCAGGAAAGGGGGAAAGCCCUAAUUCUCUAAUCACCUCUCUUUCUCCUCCAACUCCCGGCGAGCAGUGGCGGAAACGAUGCCACCGGUCCACCUUUCUCUUUCCAUAGAGAGCUCGUUUAUGGUAAUUUCUUAUUUUGUUCAAAGAUUGAUUGGAUUACAGGCUGUUUUCUUUGGUGUACAUAUGUGUUGCAGAUGGCAUCUUCAUGCUAUUUUCUCUAUGCACUAAGGCGCUUAAAGCUUAUAUCGUUUAGUGGUUUAUAGGCUGGAUUGGGGUUGGAUUUGGGUUCUGGUUAUUUGCUGAGGGAUGAAUUGGGGGUUUUCGAGCUAUGAGCUCAGGGAAGGAUAGUGUAACGCCCUGAGCCCACGGGGGUGGGGUUUCGUAUAUUGUGAAUUUGUUGCUUUGGAAUUUUAUCCAGAAAGAAGAAUGUAUAUUGUGGUUCCUUAAAGAUAGAAAGCAAUUCCAAGUUGGCUGUUACUUUCUCUGUUAUGGAUGAAUGUUUUGAGCCUAUCAUAGAUGAGCGAAGUGGAACCAAUAUGAUUUAUAAUGUUGUCUACAGCUGCGGGUGUGUGGAGAUCUGAGAUCAUUACAAGAGACUGAAGCCGCCUUUAUUCUUUCACCGUUUUCUAGGGAAAGGAUCAUUCUGUGUAAAUUGGGAAAAAUGUGGAAGGACGUAGGAACUCCAGCCGAUUCUUACUAUCAAGUGCGACCUGACUGCACUGAUGUACCCGAAAGCAAGUUUAGAAUCAAGGUUUGCUGUUUGCUUCCUUUUUCUUUGUCUUUUGGUUUCAAUCCAAUCUGCAAAUUCACAUCUUCGCUUGAACAUGCAUAUCCAUGAAUGAGAGUCCAAGCACACCAUAAGAUUGAGGGCUGUAGCAAUAUUCCUUGAACUAACCAAUUUUAUGUAGAUAUCUAUUGAUUGAACUGAAAACUUUUCUUAGUAUGCGGCUUGGAAGGGAUGGAAAUCAUGAUGCUUGUAUUAAUGUUCUAGAAAGAUCAAAGAAACAAUAAUCAAUGAAUUCUCUGAUGCUAAAAUUGAUGUUAUGGAACUCGAUCUUUCCUCUUUUGCAUCUGUUAGGAAUUUUGCAUCGGAAUACAACUCUUCGAGGCUUCCCUUACACCUCCUCAUGUGAGUUUCCUAUAAUCUAUGAUCUUAAGUUGAAGCACAUAUACCUAUGGUCUCGAACACUCACUAUGUCUUUUUUUUGUUUCAUCAUAAUUUAAGACUUUUUAGGGCAUUUUUCUUAGAUGAAGAUUGUUGUGUCCUGUAUACUGACAUCUUUUCUUAUUUAAAAGUAACAAUGCAGGGGUUAUGGCUACACCCUUCAUGCUUUCACAUGACAAUAUAGAAUUGCAAUUUGCAACGAACCAUCUAGGUAUGCUUUCAUGUACUUCUUUCCCCUCAAAUUUCAAAUGUAGCUUUUGGCACUGUUCUGUUUUAUAUGAUCUUUUGAAUUCUUUUAAGAUUGAUAAUUCACUAUGCACAGUGCUUUGUGCCAUACCAAAAGCGAAAAGAUUUGGUUUCUUAUAACUAAAUUGUAAUUAAUAACUAUGACUUAAUUCUUUUUGGACUGAGAAAACUGACAAAUGACAUCUUAAAUCUAUAUAUUACACUAAAAGUUCAUUUUGCUUUUGUCAGAUUAACAUUUACUUCAAAAAUAUCUGAAUGUGCAUAGCAUAGGGUUUAUGUUUUUAGUUGACGUUUACUUGUUUUUAGUUGCAACUUGUUUGUUUAACUCUUAAACUAUAUAGCUUUUUUUUUUUCAAAUUGUGUUCAAACAAAGAUGUCAAUUAUUCUGUUAACUUUUUGUGAAAUUGGGAGAUUUUGAAUGCUGAAAAGAUACCAUUCGAAACACAAGCUAGUAAUUUAGGGCCUAAAAAUGCAUGUUGUGUUCUCUUUUUUUCCCCUGUGUUCUAUGCUUUCUUUGUCUGGAUUGUUAACUUGAUACAGCUGUUAUGGUUAUAUGAAAAGAAUAAAGCUGUUAGCGACAUAGUCGCUGAUCUUUUGCUUUUAAAUGUGAGUUCUUCGCAGAUAUGCUUGGUUUUAAUCUGAGGCAUUUAAAUUUGAUUUGUAUGACUUGAUUUGGUUGUGAUUUUCUACUAUAUUUUACAUUUCCUUUUUACUCCUAAUAUGCAAGGAUAAUGUUUCUCCUUUUAGCUGUUUGGGAUUUUGUAGUUCCCAUGAGGAAAAUGUUAAUUUACCAGGAGAGAAUGUUUCUAGCCCUAUGUUUUGUUUGCUUUCUGUUAUGUCUUAGUUUUGUCACUUUAAUAAUUCUGAAGGUAGCGGUCAUUCUUCAUUUUUCACUAAAUCUCUA